AAAUUGAAGAGUUUGAUCAUGGCUCAGAUUGAACGCUGGCGGCAGGCCUAACACAUGCAAGUCGAACGGUAGCACAGAGAGCUUGCUCUCGGGUGACGAGUGGCGGACGGGUGAGUAAUGUCUGGGAAACUGCCCGAUGGAGGGGGAUAACUACUGGAAACGGUAGCUAAUACCGCAUAACGUCGCAAGACCAAAGUGGGGGACCUUCGGGCCUCACACCAUCGGAUGUGCCCAGAUGGGAUUAGCUAGUAGGUGGGGUAACGGCUCACCUAGGCGACGAUCCCUAGCUGGUCUGAGAGGAUGACCAGCCACACUGGAACUGAGACACGGUCCAGACUCCUACGGGAGGCAGCAGUGGGGAAUAUUGCACAAUGGGCGCAAGCCUGAUGCAGCCAUGCCGCGUGUAUGAAGAAGGCCUUCGGGUUGUAAAGUACUUUCAGCGAGGAGGAAGGCGUUGUGGUUAAUAACCACAGCGAUUGACGUUACUCGCAGAAGAAGCACCGGCUAACUCCGUGCCAGCAGCCGCGGUAAUACGGAGGGUGCAAGCGUUAAUCGGAAUUACUGGG
rnacentral:rRNA from 1 species